GCUCGGACCCAGCGUGUAGGAUCAAGGAGGGCGUAGCGGUUCUUCCCUCGCUUUGCUCCAAAGCUUGAGGCCAGGGUUCGAGCGUCGGCGUGGCCCAGGCUUUAAGUGCCUUUGGUUUCCAGUCUCGCUCUCGCCGGUUUUCUCCGGGCACUUCGGUUUCCUCCUGCCUCUUAAAACUGGAUCUGCUUCCUAACUCCGUAAUGUGAUGGUGAUUAAUAAAGUGUAUGAAUAAACGUACAGUUAUUGGCGCAAAUAGCCCGAGUUGCUGAAAGCGCCAUUAAAACUAAAACAUUAACGUAUGCGUACACGGGGUACGGGUACCGAGUACCGGCCGGGGAAACAAACCGGAACCAAGCUUGCCCGUUAGGUUAGCACUGAGCCAGACUGCAGGUUCAAGCCAAUCAGAAAACAGCAAGCCAUCCAGCCAAAUCUGAGGGAUCAGCUCUUCAACUGGGACGGUAUACUUCCAUCCCAAGGGACUUGUCCAGAGCCGCUCAGGGACUUGCGGGUAUGUGCCGUCCACGCCGCGCUCUGAGGAGGAGGCCAUUCUCACCCAAAUCUCGCUCCACCUCCAAGGGGCGUGGCAUCACAGAGUACUAGCAUGACUAGUGAAUGUCCGGAUGCUGGCACUGUACGGAACCUGUUGCAAUCACAAAGCGUUGCACAGAGGCACACUGCAAUUUGAAGGGAGCUCCCCAUCCCUCAUGCUGUUAUUACAGCAUUGGUGAAAUGUCUUACUCGUAGACACAAGCUCAAACCAGCAGGUGGACUGAGAAUCUGAAACCACCAAGGUGACCAAUCCUAGCUUUCAGUAUCAGCAAUCCUAGCUCUACAAUGUCAUCUCGGGAACUUGAACCAGCAGCACUUUGUUUACUGUGACCUGCUUUCAUGGAGAUGCCAUUGACUGGCUGAAGGAGCAUAUAUGUAGGCAAGAGAACAUUAGCGUUUCAAGCAGGGUGAAGUGGUUCCUGUCUACCGUGGUACUUGGAGGGGAUUCACCUCACAAACAUGGCUCGUGCAAAUGGGGUGCUCUGAAGCUCAAAAUUGUACAGCAUUUGUCUUGACACAGUUAACAGUGUUCACACUUGAAACAGGGAGUGUAGAUGUUUUUUAGUCUAAGAAAAAAAACAAAUGUUGCCGUAGUUUUCGCUAUGAACAUCCAACAAAAGAAACGCAUUGCACUUACUACAUGUAUAAGCGUUCACUGUUACUGCAACCUGCUUCUUUUGUUAGACGUUCAUAGUGUUUGGUGUCAAGGGUAUAUUUUUGUCUCUGGAGAAAGAAAUAAAAGUAUUUAGCUGCAAUGCAAUUUUCUUCACAACAAUUUUUUUAACUUACACUUGUUUGAUGUGU